rnacentral:rRNA from 1 species
GCUUGUCUCAAAGAUUAAGCCAUGCAUGUCUAAGUAUAAAAGUAUUCUAUACUUGAAACUGCGAAUAGCUCAUUAAAUCAGUUAUAGUUUAUUUGAUGGUGCCUUACUACAUGGAUACCCGUAGUAAUUCUAGAGCUAAUACAUGCCAAAAAAACCCAACCGCAAGGGCGGGUUGUAUUUAUUAGAUAAAAAACCAUUACUCGCAAGAGUUUUUAUUGAUGAAUCAUAAUAACUGUUCGAAUCGCACGGGGUAACCUGGCGAUAGUUCAUUCAAAUUUCUGCCCUAUCAGCUUUCGACGGUAGUGUAGUGGACUACCGUGGCGUUAACGGGUAACGGAGAAUUAGGGUUCGAUUCCGGAGAGGGAGCCUGAGAAACGGCUACCACAUCCAAGGAAGGCAGCAGG